AAGAAUAUUUUUUCUUUACCUGGGUAUUAAUAGUUAAGAUCUUUAAACCCAAAAAAUUUGGCGGUAUCUCAUUUUAUUCAGAGGAACCCCCCCCGUAAUUGAUAGUACACGAUUAACUUUACUUAAUUUAUUUGUUUGUAUAUCUCCGUUAUCAGAAAAUCUUUUUGGAGUAAUAAUUUUCUUGAUUCAUAAUUAUGAAUUAUUUCAGGUCAAGGGGCAGCUUAUAAUUAAGAGGAGGUGGGUUACAAUAGAUUUUUGUUUAUUAUGGAUUUUAUAAUUGAUUAUUAUAAAUGAAGGUGGAUUGAUAGUAAUUAUUAUUAUUAAGAAAUCGACUCCACG
rnacentral:rRNA from 1 species